UAAGCUAGACUCUACAUCUGUGUAGAGGUGACUGCCGUAUGCCUCCCUGUUCACGAUGAGCACCAGGAUGCAGAUCACCAGAGGAAUCCCUGGAGGGACAGUUUAAAUGUUUUUAAAGCAUGUGUUACAGCCUUGGAAAUAAUAAUGACGACAGCUAACUUUUUCAUCUCAAUGUUUCAGUCAUCAGCACUGUCCUAUUAAAAGGCAGUCAGCCGAACACACGACUCACCCCAUCCCAGAGCACAGAACUUGAGGAUGUAAAUGAUGCCAGGAGGAAAUAAUGCAGCGUGGAUGCUACAGCCACACAGAGGCCAUAUAGACCCCAAGAGGACAGCCAGGAGUUUACCAGAAACACCAGGUUUAAACCCAGCAGCGCCAAGGAGAGGUUGAUGAGUAUCUGAGAGGGGUAGUCUCGACGAAGCUUUCUGAGACAGAGACAGAAAUAAAACAUGGGGGAGAAAACAAAAGGCUUUGUGCCAGCGCGGUCAGAUGACACUCCGAAAGUCAAACUGCCAAACUGUCCGGGAACUACAUCCACCACUGAGAUAGCAAUGGCCUGAGCAACCAGGGUGGAGGAGCCCUCGUAGCCCAC